ensembl:lncRNA
CUGAGAGCCAUGGAAAGGUAGAGAGAGGUUUCCACCAUUAAUAGAAAUCUUGGAUUAUCAGUCUUUGGAAACAGCUUGCAUAAAAAGAAUGAAGGGUUGUGUGUAUCUCCAGAAGGUGCCCCCACAACAUCCUGCUGGCUCCCUUUGGUGAGUGUAAAACGGCAUGCAGCAGGGAGCUAUACAGAGAAAGUAUAGUAAAUUGAGAGGAGUAAGCAUGCCGGUAUGGAUUACAAGGGAAGCAUGCAAAAACUGUAGGACCCAUGUAAGAAUUGAGUAAAACCCAUUUUUCCCUCAACUACACAACAGAAGAAAAAUGAGGCAAUAAUAUUCUGCCAGUAAUGGAAAAAUGAAAUGUCUGUGUAGAUCUACGGAUCUUGAAAAACCUUACAUUUGGAGAAGCAUCUUCACUCAGGAUUCUCAUGCUACAGCUUCAGUAGAAAACACAUCUAAAGGUCAGCCAAUUAGAUAAAAACAUGUAUUCUUUAGGUAGUAUCCUCUGGCUUUCACACAUUGGAACCUGAUGUGAAGCUGAUGAGUUUAGCUCCUGUAAAGCAGAGCUCUGUCAAGAAAUGUCAUAGGUCCAGAUCCUUUUCCUCUCUUGUGUUUUGGGCAACUCAUUCUUCACUGGACUUCUGUUCUCAUGCUAGUGAUAGAAUAGCUACUGCUGUAAUGUACGUACUGGUCUACUCACCUAAACCUCUCUCAUAUACAUCAUACCAUGAAAUAUUGCUUCUAUCAUUCACUUCACUUAACUCAUCUCCUUCCCCUCUCUUCCACAAUUCUCUCCCUCUGAACACCAAUUCCCUUUAAUAUAAGAGGAUACAGGAGAGUUAAGCAGGCAAAUAUGUUAUCUCAAACUUCUGUUGCUCCAAGAAGCUCUUCAAACCUCCUGAAAGUAAAACAGAUUGUGCGUAAGGAGCUGGCUGCAGAUUCUGUACAGGAACUCAGCCACAAUCCUGAACUUUGGCACCUAGAAGGAUGUGGGGGCUGUCUCCAUGCAUUCUAUACACAGGUCAGCAAGUCUGCUGUGAAAAUAUUAAGAAAAUCUCAAGGCAUUUAAAGAUUAAAUGCUGUACUAAAUUCUUCUGUGGAUUUUCAAGAGACUGGAUGGUUUUCAAGUGCUUGAAUUCUGGGUUUUUUUUUGAUGCUGAGGAAGGUGAGCUUCAUGACACAGUUUGUAAUCCUGUUUCUUCUGUCCCUACCCCUUUCUCAGCUGUGUAUUAGGAUAAGAACCAGUGUGCCUGGUCUGUUUGCAUGUCCAGGCUUGAGGAAGGAGGCAGAGUGGUUCCUGAUCUUGAGGGUCCAGACUGACCAUCAUCAAUGGGAUAUGGCCUGAUCCUGUCCCAGAGACCAGCACUGCAGAGUGUAAUGUAGCAUGCAACCUUGUAAGAGUGAGUUGCUGACUGCAGACUAUUUUUAAAAAAUAAUAAUAAUAAUAAUAAAAAUUAGGAUCCAUUUACUCCCUUUUUCUAAUUAAAAAAAAAGAAAAGAAAAGAAAAUACUUAUACAACUGGUCUUAAAAUCCUAGAGUUGGGGGUUGGUGAGGGAGGAGUUUACUGCUCAUUUUGUCUCAUAAGUUUGCAGAAAGAACAAAAGCUGUGUUUCAAUGUGUGCAUGAAGCUGGAGGUAUUGGGGCUCAAUGUGUUUGACUUGAGUGAUUGAAACUUGUGGUGAGAGUUUGAGGAUAGGCAAGGUACUCUGUCACUCUUCCUGAUGCCUUUUGACCCCAAUUUGCUUGCAAGUUAAGCUCUGACCUAACCACCGGAAACAAUUAGCUUGCUUUUCUUGUGCAGCAGCUCAGCAUAUGCAGCUCUAAUCAGAGAUUGAGGAGCAGACCUCUGUCAGGCAAGCAGACUCCAAGUGAUUGCUGAGCAACAAUAGUACUGGAGUUCAGAGUUAAAUGAAAAUUUAAAAUAGCCCACAUGGAAAAAAAAAAUUGUAGUUAAAAUCCUCUUCAGAGAUUUAUAUAUAUAUAUAUUUCUUUCUUUCUCUCUCUCUUUCUUUCUUUUUUGAAUUAAGGAAGAGAGUUAGAAAAGAUUUAAACAGAAACUUUCUGCUGCAACGAAUGGAUGCCAGAAAAUGGAAGGCAAUCAGAAUAGACCUUUAUUUUCAGACAGUGUCUGGGUACGAAGCAUGAGAUGUGCUAAAUAUUUUUUCAGUUAACAGUAAAACUCAGUCAUGAACCAUGUAACAGAGUCUUGAGAGGUAUUAUGUUCAACAAGGACAGAACAUGUGAGAGUUCCUAGAAUAGAUUGCAAAUGGUUUGAUGAGGCAAACCAUGUUUUUAUUUCAUGCUCUCUCCUGAUGACCCUCAUGAAGAAUCAGGUGGUGAUAAAGCUUCACCACAAAAAAGAGAUGGCCACAAGAGAAGCCAAAUGGCUAGAAAGAGAAUUAUUUGUCAGGCGGAUGUUUUGCAACCCAUACAAGAGCUUAUGCAUGAUAUGCUCAAGUUGUCAUUUUAUGUGGUUUGAGAGAGCAACCUUGAGUAUACAUCUAUGGAGCACUGGAGUAGUAACUGCUCUGUUACAGUCUUUAUGUAUGCAGCGGGUAGUCAUGAAAUUAAUGUUUCGUUGCUCAGAAAAGGUUGGGCACUGCUCUUCUAGAAAAUUCAGUUCUACGUGAAGAUACCAGAAGAACGUAAAAAAACCAUUUGCACCCAAAAAAAAAGGGGCAUUUUGGUUGUGAAAAAUCAAAUAAACCAAGACAGACCUUUGCACUUACAAGAGUGAUCAUGAUUUUUACAAGCUCCACCAUUCUGUGGGAGUUUGAUUUUGGCAAAGUGUACUCAGUAUAAGUAUUAAAAUGAGAGAAGAGCUGUUAUCUCCCUGGGACUUGUUAGACAGGGCUGCAGCAGAUGAUUAGUGGGCUAUCCGAUCAGAUUGUAUUUCGUUCAGUUAGAUGCAGGUGCACAAAGCCAGCAGCAUAAGGCAUUUGAAAAUGACCAUUGGCAGUAAAAGGAAAAAAUUAGUAUAGUGGUGAGCAUAUCCUUUGUAACAGAAUGUGGGGGUACAUAAAAUCUGUAAGAGUUGGGUUUUGCAGUUCCAGGAAAAAAGUAAUGUAAUGAUCUGAAGAUGUUUGGGUUCUCCAAGCAAUAUCCUCUCCUGGGUGCAAGAAGCAAAUAAAUGAGAGUAUGAAGUUGUUCUGAAGGGAUGCAAGAGCUCUUGAUAAAUUAAUUAGAGGGCAUCUUCUGCUAUUUCCUUAGGAAAGGCCACCUCUGAAGGCAGAGGCUGAGGAGGAGCAGAGUGGACUCACUGCUAUGAUGUGUGCAGGACUCAGAAGUAAGAGCAGAGCAGUUCCUAUCAGAGCCCUACCAUGUGCUGGCAGCCGUCUGCACACAGUGCAGACCCUGUCAGCUCCCAGCCACACGUGAAGCCUCAGAUGCUAUUUUAAAUAUGUUCACAUGUACCUCGCUUGUAGGAAACAUAGGUUCAUUUGUUUAUCGCAAGCCGGGAGUGUGAAAGUGCUUGCAAAAAGCACUCUGCCAUCUCACCCACACGGUGCCCUCACUUUUCUGGGUGAGGGCCUUAGCAAUGUUGCUUCCUUCCCUCGAGCUGCUAUGUUGCCAUCACCUCCUCCAUUAGCAUUACUCCUGGCAUGGUCCCGACUGCUAGCACAACACCCAGCCCUGUAAUCUCUGCAGACACCAAGCAGGGCUUCAGCAGAGACCCCUCACAGCUCCUAAAGUGUCCAGAGCUGCCUGCCUGGGCCUCAACAAAAGGCUUCGCUAAAUAAUAAUAAAUAAAUGCUAAAAUAAGGAACUUCUGCCCAAAGUACAUCUCUGCUUCAGCACCACGACUGUGAAAAGCUGUCUAAUGGGGAUGGCUACCAUCAUAAAGAGGCUCUUAUUACCAUGAACUGGGACAAGUCAGAUUGUUCACACCUCUUGAAGACAACCACAAGUGAAGGCUUUGAAAAACUAAUCACUAAAUCAUAGUGAUUCAAUGAUUCUAAGCUAUGGAUGCUACCUGAGAAGACCUAAAUCUACUUCUCCUGACUACCAAGCUAAGGGUAGUCACCUGUGGACAAGGGAGAGGCUUUGUGAGACUGGCACACCAACUGACUUCCAAGUUCUCUGAUGUACCUUUUCUUCUUGGCAUGGGAAAAUUAAAAUAUUCAUCAAACCAAAGACUGGGGACUAAUUGCUAGGCACUUAUCUGGGAAAUGGAAUACCUGUAUUGUCAUGAACAGUUAAGCUUUUAGUUCAAAGUGAGAAGUAUUAAUAGUGGUAGCCACAUCUCAAUCUCCUCUAAGCAUUCCCUUAAGAAGUAGGUGCCUUUAGGCAACAGAUUUUAAAAACUGCUGCUCCUGCAUUUUUGGUCACUUGCUGCUUUGUUUUGGUUUUGGUCAGGUUCAUAGUCCUUUGCUUGCUUUUCUUUAUUUUUGGCUGAGGAUGCAUGAAACAAGGAGAAAAAGUAUUUGGGGUUGUCCAGACUUUCUAAAAAUUGGGGAAAAAAAAAAAAAAAAACAACUUGGUUUGGAUCAGACAAAGGAAAGUGCUUUUGUUCUGCUUACUGAAACAGCUGGGGGAAAUUGUUCACCCAAACCUAAUGUCAGCCCAUUUCGGGGGGGGGGGUGAGAAUGGGAUUUAGUCACUAACUUAAAGCUGCUGUGACUGUAAGAACCUUAGCUAGUGGUGACUUGGCAUGUGGUGCCAAAUAUAUUUUAGGAGCUGGGCCUGCCCUGAUGGCUUGUUUGUGUAGCAAAGUUCAUUGAGACAGAGGUCAGAGGCAAAUCUCACUGGUACUUACAUUUAGGUUUGUUUGCUGCUUUUGAUCGCUUCCUUGUCCAGCUCUGAUCCUGAAGAGGUCUGGCUAUGCAUUGCCAGAAGAGCCAAGUUGUAGCUCUGGUGUAGCUUUCUGCUUCUGUACGCGUGGUGCAGCAUCACGCCCCGCUGCAGACACCGAACCCUCACAGGAAGUCAGUAGGACAAAUUAAUGCUUGCUGCAACCCAGAUCUGUGCACUCAACACAUCUGUUAGGCCUGGUAGCACUAAGCGAAGGAUUGGCUCAGCCUUUGUGCUGUGCAGCAUUCCCCAGCAGUCGUUUCGCUGUGGCUUUUUUUUUUCUUCUUCUUCUUCUUUUUUUUUUUUUCUUUUUAAGACAAAUGGGGUUACCAAAAGGGCAUCUGAGGAGAGGCUUUGUCAGAGCACCAUGGUGCUGCAGAUGGGAUCCAACACCCUCUUUGAGCCCUGGCUCUGAGGACAGGAUGCUCGGCUGUUAUGCUGUCAGGCGGUUCAUGUUUAAAAAUCACUUAUUUUCUGUUUUCAUUGCUGCACCUCUGAAGAAAUGCAUUCUGUUUUAUCUCAACAGAAAUAGAUCUGACUACUUUGCUUGCAAAAACUGCCUGUAAUGUAGCUGAAGGGUUUACUUGCCUUUCUUCAUUUCCAAAAUGAAGUAAAAAAAAAAAAAUUAAUUGCUCAUCUGCUGCUUUGACAUCAAGGAAAGGUAACCCAUAGAAAUCAUUCUGAUAUAGCUUAAAAAUGAGCUGGAUGCCUGUGAGGGAGCACAGAAGGCUAAAAGCAAAAUAAUCUUGCUUUCUGCCAUCCUGUUAUUGCUGCGUUACUGCAGUACAGCGUGCUAGUUAUGUUCUGAGUGUCUGAAACUUGUUUCUUGCUCCCAAAGUGAUGAGCAGGUUGGCAUUAAUAGACAAGGAACUUGGUACCCACCAUCUAAAGAGCCUUCACCAACUUUAAUGUCUCAUGAGCUAGGAAAAGUAAUUUAAAAAAUUAUAGGGAUUGGGGACAUACUCAAAUGCCACACACAGUCCCAAAAAGCAAAAGCUUUUAACAAAUCCCUGCCCAAUUCUUUUAAAAGAAGAACAGAAAACCAGAGCAUAGCCCAGUAAAAGAACGUGGUCAAGUAAGUAGGUGCAUUUAGAUUACUAGAUUCUUUGAGCAAAUCUAUAGAGGAGAAAGUAGCAGACUGGCAUGAAGCAGAGAGGUCAGGUUGCUCUAGGUGCGUAUCCCAGAGAUGAAAAACUUCAUGUUGUUCAAAAUAGUCUUUUGUAGGUCUGUAAAAGCUUUUCUUCUGCUUUGUGAACUCCCAGGGGAGCAUGUGGCAAACCCGGGGAACCUCCAAGCCCUCUGCUAAACAUGCACAUCUACUGAACUGUGUAUGUGAUUCAUGCACAUCAGCAUGCAGUCUCUCCGGUGCAUCACUGCCUAUCUUGAUCAGGAGAGCACUUAGGCAUUGAAUUUUCUGCUACUGGAGAAAGCUUGUAAGGCCAGACCGGUCUUCUACCAUAAUUCACUCAUACUUGUCUGAGUAGGGCUACAAAGACGGAGAAGGGCCUAGAGAGGAAGAGGGUGGCUGAGGUCCCCUGGUUGGCUCAGCGCAGAGCAGAGGAGCUGAGGGGAGGCCUCACGGCGGCUGCAGCUCCUCACAGGGAGUGGAGGGGCAGCGCUGAGCUCUGCUCUGUGUGACAGCGACAGGGCCCGAGGGAACGGCGUGGAGCUGUGUCAGGGGAGGGGCAGCUGGGGGUCAGGGACAGGGCCUGCACCUGAAGGUGGAGGGCAGUGGUCACGGCCCCGAGCUGCCAGAGUUCAAGGAGCAUCUGGACAACACUCUCAGACAUAUGGUCCAAUCUUUUGAUGGUCCUUUAUAGAGCCAGGAGUUGGACUCGAUGCUCCUUAUGGGUCCCUUCCCACUUGGGAUAUUCCAUGAUUCUAUUGCAGGAAAUUCUAUUGCUGGUCUGACUUACUCUCACCCGCAGUGGAUAGAAAUACUAUAUUCAAACACAGAAUUGCUUCUUUAGUAUACCAAUGUAUGAAAAAAAUCACAGCUAUAAACGUAGAUGAGAGAAUGACUUCUCACUGGAUCUCCAUAGGUCCCUGUUCCAAGGCCUGUGGUUUAUGUCUAUUCAUUCAGAGAUGCCUACUGGCAAACUCAGGGCUAUUUUGACAGAGCAGUAACUGAAGAUGCUGAAAAAAAAAUUUAGAUGCAGAGAAAUCUCCUCUUUAACCACAACCAGUGGAAAGAUACAAACUCUCUGCCAUGCCUCUGGGCUGAUCCUGGUGCCUGCAGCCUCUUUUAGUGGCAGGGCAGUUUAAAAGAAGUAACAUCCAGGUACUCUGUUAUAGCUCUGCAGGCAUUAAGGCAGAGGAACCUGCAUAUGGGAGCGCUGCCUGCUGCUAGAGAAAGGCCAGGCAUAAAUUGAGGGCCACAAACACGAUCCAAGGGAUGGAACACGUCCCUGUGAGGACAGGCUGGGAGAGCUGGGGCUGUUCAACCAGGGGAAGAGAAGACUCUGGUGAGAGCUGAGAGCGGCCUUUUAGUGUCUAAAAGGGAAAGGGACUGUCUCUCUAGCAGGGUCUGUUGGGAUAGGACAAGGGGAAAUGGUUUCAAACUAAAAGAGGGGAGAUUUUGAUUGGAUAGAAAGAUAGAUAGUAUACCUAUAUAUAUAUAUAUGUAUAUAAAUAUAUAUAUAAAAGGAAAUGUUUUUUACAGUAAGGGUAAUGAGGCACUGGCACAGAUCGCCCAAAGAGGUGCUGGAUCCUGAACGCUGGAGACAUCUAAGGUCAGGCUGGAGGGGCUCUGAGCACCCUGAUCAAGCUGUGCAUGUCCCUGUUCAUUGCAGGGGAGUUGGACUGGAUGGCCUUUAAAAGUCCCUUCCAACUCAAAGGAUUCUCUGAAGUUUCUUCAUCUGUUUGUAAAGUUACCUUGUGGCAAUAAGAUGGCUUUGAUCAAAAGCCAUCUUCAGCUGUCCUCCAGUUUUACUGGAAGGCACUGCCAGCAGCCAUGUCUCCAGCAUGGGGAACUGAACAACAGCAAUAUUUUUGUUUUCAAAGAAAAAAAGAGAGCAAGGAAUCGAGAUGAACAUUUCUUUGGUUGUGUAUGUCUGUAGUCAUACCUUGCUUCCAGUAUAUAUCAUGAGAGACAAUUAAAUGCUGCAGGUUUUUGGAUGCACUCCCAAUUCUCAGUCAUUCUCUCUUUAGGGGUUUAACUGUGGUUUAACUGCUGUUGCUUUAUCUAGAGCUAAGCAGCUUGCACCGAAUUCAGGUUGCUGCUGCUUAUUAAAAAUUGAAGUAUACCUUUCCUCUGUUGUUAGGGGAUAUAGGUGAGGUGCUGAGAAGCACUGAAAUUGGGUUUGCAAGUAGGAAACUCAUAACGUUUGCUAGACUGCACAAAUAAAGCUGAGGUGGGGAGUGCUGCUUCUACAGAGCUGAGAUGGCCUUAACUGAGAGCACAAUUUGUGUUCCACCAUUUUGUCAGCAGGAAAAGCCUGGCUGAAAAAGUAGUCUUGUUUGUAGUGUUCUUGUUUCUAAAACUGAAGUACUUGCUGCUAGGCUGCAAUUCAGGCAAGAGGCAGCUGCAGGCAAUUCUGCUGCUUAUUAAGCUAAUCAGGGCUGUAUCACUUGCUCCCUUCCACCACGUCUGAUUUACCUGUUGUCUUCUCACAAAACAAAAUUAAGCUCUUCAAAGGACUGCUUUUAAGUCACAGCUCAUAGCAAAAUGAAGACCUCAUAGGAGGCUCUAAGUGCUACUACAAGUGAUUAUUUUUAUAAAUGCAUUUCCUUGUCACUGGCCCUUUUCCUAUUGCUCUUGCUUUAGUAAUGUGAUGGUAAAAAUGUAUAUCUCUUUUCCAUGUGGUCUGUUCUAAAGUUUGGGAUAUAAAAUCAAGAAUAAUAACCCAGUUAUAACAGCAUUUUAAAAUGCAAGUUUUUACAUUAAGAAAUCUCCCUCUUGCCAGGAACUCAAAAAUACCACUUUAUGUUCCAAGUGUGGACAAUUAUAACUCAACUAAGUUGCUUCAAAGCACCUUCGUUAUGUGCUUAAAUGAACAAGCUGGCUUCACACUGAAGAAUGUGAAGAGCAUUCAUAUGUUUUCCCUUACAAGGUUCAAAUGUACAGGCACUAAUCUUUACCUAAAAGGCAGUAACGAGCAUUUGAGAGAAGGUGAUGUCUGGAAUGAUUCCAGAUUAUUGCCUAUGUUACCUAUGCAGUUAGAUAUGGAGUUGUUUGCUGUCUAGAUACUGAUUAUAUAACCAGUAAUGCAUGACUAAUGAUAUGUUGUUGAUACAAAGAUACCAACAUGUGGAGGUAUAAUUAAUGCAGAUCAUCCAGAAUUGCUUAUGAAAUAUACAUAUAAUAUAUACAUAUUUCAUAGAUUGUUGAUGUUCAAUUCCUUUUUUUGACUAGAUUCUACACUAUGCUUUUCUUACGUGUUUUGAGAGUAAAAAAAACAGGCAGGUGAUAGAGCCAAAUUAACAGUAACUGAGACAGGUAACAAUCUAGAAAACAGACAAUUCACCACAUUAAAUUCACUGCAUUUUGAGAUAGUUGUUUGCUAAGGCCAUGUUAGAAGGUUUGUCUUGUCACCCCAGGGGUCAUGGGACAGACCCUGUAUUUGUAGGUGUGCCAGCCUCAAACUUAUUAGAGGCUUUUGAAGAUGAUACAAUUAUUUCUAUCAUCGGGAAGAAUGCAAAGGAACUGCAGUCUUAUAUGUAUAGUCAAGCCUUUCCAUUCUUUUGGCUCUUUAACUGACUUUUACUGCAGCAGAUUCUGUGGAAGCAUAUUGCAUUAACAGGAGUAAAAAUGAACCUUCUCACCGUUGCAGCAUUGGCACCACACCUAGGGCUUUUUAGAGGCUUUUAGAAAGAAAUUUAUAGCCUGCUUUAUAUGCACAAUUAAUAGUAACACAUUCCCCAAUGUUUUUGUAAUCAAAUGCAAGGAAUAAAAUUCAACAGGAAUAUUCUUCUGUAUGCAUUUCUUAUAUGCAUACCUAAAUACAAUUUUACAGCUAGACUAAAUCUUCAAUUUCACGUCUUCCGUUCCGUGUCUUCAUUAUGAAUGUAAAGGGUUGCUGAAAUCUCACUGAAUACCUUUAAAAAAAAAUCAGAAAACCAAUUCACUUUUUAAUCACUCAUAUUUCCUUCAUCUGACUCCUCCUCGUUUUUCAUCUCUAAGGAGACAAGCAUUGCCUUGAAAAUAGUCUCCUGGUUUCUUGAUAGUUCACUUGUUCCCAUUCUAAUUCUGUUACCUCAUGCCUUUUAUUUACAGCCUUAGCCCUCUGCUAGUGACAUCAGAGGUGACGUUAGAGGGGGCUCUCUCUGGAGGUAUGGGAGACAAAGCAGCAGGAAGAAGGGGUGGACUGUCCUCAAGAAGCUGAUUUUAGUCCCAGUGAGAUAGAAGGAAGGAAAGCACAGAACAUAUUGGGGGGAAGCUGAACUUCUCCUACAUAAAAAGAUAUUUUAAGCUCACGUCAGCUGUUAGAAAUCAAUAUACAGAAAACUCAGUUUCAAGGAUUGCCUUCAUUAUACUAGAAUUAUGCAAAAUGCAUCUGAAAAAUACUAGCAAGAGUUUUGUUUUCAGGUUUUCUGGCCUGUACUCUCCUCUCAUGUCGCUUAGAUCUGAUCAUCAUUUCUAUUUUUCUACCCUAUCUUCCUCUCUUCCUACUCCCGUCUGCUUCCUAAAAUGUUCCCCUGUUACGUACCCUUCCCAAUCCGCUUUCAGCAUCUAAUGAAAUUGUGCCUCCCCCCUUAUAGUACUGAAUGUCUCUAGAGGCUGAGUUCGGUAAUCCACUCUAUUUUCUCUAUUUUUGUUAGUAAUUAGAUGGUAAGAUAAAGGAUGCCUAUGGACAACCUAAGGUAAUAAUAAUCUGUACGCAACAGAGCUGCUGUGGGACUUAAGCACCGUGAGUUAGAAGAAAAAGGGAGUUCAGUAAGAAGGAUUUAACAUCUACAGAUGCAUAUGGUGUCUGCACUUGGGAAUCAUUGCCUGAAUCAAACCCAACCUCUUCUAGAAUCGCUGCUUAUGAUAGUUCUUCCUGGUGGACUGGACUUUACUUUUAAAUGCAUAUUGUAAUGUAUGGACUAGGGCCUGUUUUGCUUUCUGUACUAAUAUUUAUUAUGCACCAACUUUCAAAUCAGAUUUGAUAAACUUCAGGAAGCCGAAGGUCCUGUGUUAACCAGGAGGUACGCUUUGCUCAAGCUGUGCACGUUUUAAACAUCAUACUUCAGCUCCAGACAUGGCUGACAGCAUUCAUAUCCACCGGUGGCCAUUCAUCUGCAGACAGGGUGAUGCUGAAGUGGUGAUGGAGGGGAUCAGCUCAUCUUCACUUCAAGUCCUGAUGAAAAAGAAAUAUAGAAAUGAUAAAUGGAGGACUGAAUAUUCAUUUAUGAGCCACUCUGGUCGUUAGGAUGAUUUUUUCUUUCCCAUUUGAUUUAAGGUGGAGGAAGAAGGGCCAAGGUGGUUACAAAUUGCAACCUAUUUGAUUGAUAGUGGUGCAUAAUGGACCUGUUGGCCCAAGCACCAGUAUUUUUUUAAAUGCUUAAUAUCACAGGUAACUGCAUGUGUGUCCAUGAGAAAUUGAGGUGAUUAGAAACAGGUAUUUAACAACAAACACAAAUGAAUGCCUGUUUCCCUCCUUUGCUACAGGAUGAAGGGAAGACUUGAAUAUUUCCCCUGCUUCAGGCUGUAAUACCACUAGUGCUUCUAGUGCAACUACUGCAGCUGCUGCUCUGUGCUUUUCCUGCAAGAGAACAGAACCCUGUAAGGAGCUCUUGCAUAAUUCUUUGAUUAUUACUGAAACUAGAUACUGGACCUCUUUAGUGGACCUGGUCUACUAGAGGGCAACUGUUACUCGUAGACCAAACUUCGCUGGUAAAACAGAACAAAAAAACAGUCCUUGCACUGCAUUUCCAUAGCUGUUAUUGAAAACAUAUUCUAAGAAGGGAUAUCUUUUAUCCAGUUACCACUUUUACUUCUCUUGACUGUGCUUCUAACAUUUUGUAUUUUAUCAUAUAUUUUGUGCUAAGAUACUUCAGAAUUAAAUCAAAUGAGCCAUGUGGCACUAUUGUGUAAUAGGCUACAAAAGGGCCAAAUGCAUCUUGACCAGAGAGGAAGCAGUAUGCAAUCACAAACAGAACAUCCUAAAGAGAGGAGUGGAGAUUCUUGGACACAACCUUUACUAGGAAAUUCAUAAUUUAUGUGCCUUUCCAGGUAUGGAAACUUUGGCAUAGAUCAAUGAUAUACGCGUAGGGACAUGUGGGAGAGGUCUUCCAUCUCUCCACUCUGUCCAAACGUAGCCUGUUCUUUGCAUGAAGUGAGCUGGUAUUGCCCCAGUGACAUCUGUCUCUCUAUACUGACUUUUGUAAAGUGAAAUUUUAGCCAACUUCCCCUUAAAGUUGGUUAGAUACUCAGGGAGAAACCAGAAACUGAUAAAUGGCUUCUCUGCUUGCAUACUGCUGAUAGCAUGCAAAGCUAGUAUCCAAGCGUGUAGUAUUUGAGAUGCUUAUCUCCCUUUUGCAGAAAACCUUAAAAAUUACAGCAGGAUGCUGGUUGUUCAAAUAGUUUACGUUUAUCAGUGCACUGUGAAAAGCUGUUGAACAGAGUACUAAGGCUUUUUGCUACACCAGAAUAAAAGUAACUUUCUUAGAGGGAGAUGAUAGAAAGAAAUACAGUUGAAAUACAAUGCUGAAUAACAUCCAAGCAUGUCAGGACAAGUUUAAUUGCAUCUACUGCUAACACCUGUUAUUAGCAAAGGAUAUUUCUGUACUGCAGUCAUGAUGAAAGACAUAAAUUCUCAGAACCUGUUAAAGAGAUUCUGCCCUGAUAACAGAUUGACAGCCACCCAGGGUAGAUAGGGAGGAACUGUGAUUGACAUACGGCUGGUAGCAGUAACUGUGAGUGACAUAAAUGUGUAUGAUCUUAUAGGAUCGCUAUGUGGGUGGGUUAACAGAAACAGACAUGUAGAAGCAGUUGCUUGAUGAAGCACAGGAUGAAAGUUUAAACACAGAUCUUCAGGAAAUGCCACAAAAUUCAUGCUUCUCUCCUCUUUGUUUUUCUUUCUUCAAGAUAAUUAUGACAACAAUAAGAAAACUAGACAUACGAAGAAGAAUAACUCAUAUCUAUGUCUGUUCCUUUUUUCUCCCAACAAAGAGCAUAUUACAGAAGUCCAAUUGCUCUUGGGCUGCUCAGAGCUGGCCCAACUUUAAAGUCUUGGUCAUUAAAUUCACGUAAGCAUCCAAGAGUUUGCUUGAUGUUUGUUUACCCCCUUCCUCUCAGAUUUCAAAAAAUAGGCCAGAAUUACUUGGAGAGGAGAUCCUUUCAGCAUUUCUCUGUUUUGUUUCACACUGAAAAUACAGAACUUUGAAAUGAAAAACGACUGGAAAAAAAACUCACAGACAAUUCCUGGGUUUCUAGAACUGUUUGUUUAGGUUCAACUCCAAACUGAGACAAUGGCUGGCUUUUUUGUUUUGUUUCUAAAUGGGAAUCAGGCUCUAGUCGAUACGCGUCAUUCUAAUAGCCAUGCCUGGUGAUCAUAUCAGGGUUAGUUGGAAGAAGAAAAGCUGAAGGAGACUGCAGCUUUUAUGAAAGAUUAAAGAAAGUAAAUUAACAAUGUUUGGGAUUGAAACAGCAUUGUAUUUAAGAUCUGCCUUAGGGCAAAGCUUUUGUACGUAGCCAAUCAAAAGAAAUGACGUUGUAAUGAUAUUAACAGUAGAAAUUAUUAAUUGAUACUUUGCCCAAUGUCUACAUUUUUCCUCUACUGGAUCUUCGUAGUUGCUAGGUGCUCCAGGUCUGAAAUCCAAAACUUCUCACUCUUUCUCUUGAAGUGAUGAUCUCUUAGGGCCGGCAAAGUGAUUCUCCGAGCUUUUUAACGAUGCAGAAAAUAAAGCUGAAAAGCCAGGUGCAAAAGUAAACAAUGAAGAUCAAUAGCAAUGUUAUCUCCCUUGUUCAGGACAUCUUGCUGCAAUUGCAGUUCUUUCCAAGAUCUUGUCAAGAAGUGAAGCUGUUGUCAAGAGACAUGAAAUACACUGCGGUCUAUUAAGUAGCGUUGCCUUCACUUAGACUGAUGUGUCUGGCAGCAGUCGAACUGUUAGAACUUAAUGUUGUAGUUUGUUCUGCUUAAUCUUGUAUAUGUCUGCUGAAAGUCUCUUUUCAGAGCUACCUGAACAGUGUUUGCAUUUCUCUCUUGUUCCAAAACAUUCCUUGCAUUAUUUCUGUUCUCCUUACUGAAGCCUUCCUAUUUGCCCACUAAGGCUGAUCUCAUUCUCUUCAGGCUUGAGGAGACAAACCAACUCUAACCUCACGUUUCUGCAUGUAGCCCUGUUCCCCCUACCUUCCUUCCUUUUAUGGGCUACUGAAUUGUUGCUGUCAUUUUAAAUCUAGGCAGAACACAUAUCUGUUCUGAGACAUCCUUAAUCACUAAAAAAAAAACCAAAAAACCCUACUAUUACUAUGUAAAAUGAAGUAUUAAUUAUAGUGGAUGUAACUUGUCUUCUGAGACCUGCUUUAUGGAGUGAAAUGGGAGAUUAUAUACUAAAUCAAUGAGCAUCUCCAACAUACUUAAAAAUGUGUGUUUCGUGUCUUGCCGUUGGCAGUUUAGGCAGCAUUAUGAUUUUGUUCACUCAUGCUCUGCAUUGUUUGUACAUUACUUUUCCAAUAAAAUAUGCUUCAGACUUCUGUUUGUGCAUUAAGCAUUGAGAAAUGUUUAAAUCGUGUUACAGAACAGCCAAUUAGGCACCCUACCUGGUGCAUAUAUUUAAUGCUAUAAUGCAUAUUUGGAAUAUCAUAUUAACAAUUUUUCCAAGAGGUCCUCAUCAUCAUAUCCUGGUGUAACAGUCUCUUCUUUUCCUGAAACCUUCUCCACCAUGAUUUCUUUUUCUUCUUUAAUCUUCCACCUCUGCCCUUGUUCAUCAUUUUCAACCUAGUCAUGAAGGAACACCAGUUUCCGAUGGACCACGUUAUGAUACAAAACUGUAUGACUCUGUAUGGGAACUGUUGAACCACGGCCUGAACCUCUGAUUGAUCACCUGAGGCAAGCACUGAGUCAGCCGCAGGAGCACAGGUGAAGGCAAUUCAGCUGUGUGGCCGGAAGGGCUGAAGCCUGGCUGCACCUCUCCUAGACCCCAUUUAAGGGCUGACUGCCACUGAAGAAGGAUCUCUUUCCAGAGAUUGCUCCUCUUUGAGUUUCUCCUGCAGUCCUACAACACGGGUGAGUGUUUUUCCAUUUGUUUCCAACUGUCCCUUUCCAAUGUGAUUGUCUUUUUUGCUUUACUAUCUGUGGUUACCAAUCUGACCACGCCACUCUGUAUGUUUGUUGAUUAUACCACUACCAGUAAAAAAGUGUUCUUUACAACUAGGUUUGCAAGUCCCUAUCUUUAAAACUGAUGAGGAUAUGAUUUCCCUCUCUGUCCCUAGAUCCUGAACUCCUAGAGGCAGAUUCACAAUGACUUGGCUGAAUACAUGUGUCUGAUUCAUGUGAUUCUGACCCAGUGCUCACCUACCCCACUACUGCUGUAUCACAGUACAAGAAAUCUCAAUGUUACAUGAUGCAGCAAAGGCCCUGUAGGAGGAUUACUUAAGGAUAUUGAUUCAGUUUACUGGAAGAGUGAUGCAUUGAUAUUGUGAAUUAACCUGCUAGAAUUCUCACAGUCCUCCUUUCAGAUCUCAGGUAACUUCAUCUUUCCUGUGUCCUCUGGCAUUCCGUGAUGGAUUUUAAGUUAGUCAUUAGUGCUUGCAAAAGAUAUUUUAUGAUUGUCUCAGGUAAAUGAAAGCAUCAGCUCAUUGUUGCACAGAGGUGAAAAAGGCAAAGGGAAUGCUAAGGGUUACACAAGUCAGAAAACAAUGUUGUACUGCUAUAUAAAUUCCUGGUGCAUUUUCACCUUGACUAUUGUAAAGAGCUAGAAAGAUUACGGAGAAGGACAGCAAAUGUCUUAAGGUAUGGAGUCACUCAUAAUGGAGGAAGUACAAAAUGGUUUCUUUACCUUGGAAAAACAAGCAGGAGCUAUUAUGCAGAUCUGUAAAAGAUGUGUGGUGCAGAGAAAGUGAAUAGGAAAUGACUACUUGUUAUUUCUCACAGCACAGGAGCUAAAGGGCACCCAGUGAAUUUAUAAGCUAUGAUAAAUUAGUUUUAAUGCAAACUGAAAGCAGUGCUUUUCUGCACAACAUAUAAUUGUGAAACUUAGUGCUACAGCAUUUUGAUGAGGCCAAGAACAGAAAGGGAUUCAGAAGCAGACAAAGUUUUCAUGGGUUAAAUACAUGUGUGGCUGCUGAACGUGGCCUACAUGCAGCCUUUGUGUCAGGUUCUUGAAGGCGUAACAUGUCAUGAAUCUAGAAGGUUGUAUCAAAAGAUCACCCUUAAUUUUUUUUUUAACUUUUUGUAGCCUCUCAUAAAGUGGUACUUCUGUUCUUCUAUUACUGAACAGAGGAUAGCGAAUGAGUGGAACCUUCGGUCUAAUUCUGUACAAUUAUUCUUAUGUUCUCUGAAUGAUGGAAUUCUGACAGUAACCUCAGACACCUGUUCCUAUAUGGAAUUGUAGUGAAUGAUUUAUCUCGUGUAGACUUGGAUUUCAUCUCUCUUGACACACCAGACCAGACACGAUGGUCUCGAGCAAAGUAGGAACGUGUUCCUAUGGUGACAUUAUGUGAUAUAUCAGAGGCAGAUUCAGAAUGAAAGUGUGGAAGAUGUUAGAAGAUAAUGUUCAGUUAACCCCGUGGUUAGCACCUUGCUUCUUGUAUUACUGAUUGCUAAGGGAGCUUACAUCAAAAAUUGGAUAUAGAAAUCCUCAGUACUGUGAGAAUCAUCAUGAGCUUCUGGGCUUUGUGCAAAUUUGUUUCUGCAGUCUUGAGAAGCACUUCAGAAUUGUUCAAGUUCUGAUGUUUGGGAGUUUUUUGCCUCUAUAACUAUAACUGCUGGUUAGACACAAGUACCCGUGGGAGAGAGAGAAAAGGUAAGUCACUUAAGUUCAGAAUAAAGCCACUUUGGCCCCACAUCUGGGAAGAUACCUUCAGGGUACUUAUCUGCUGUGACACAAGUGAUGAGGCAGCUGGAUUAGGUCAUGGCUGUUCUGGCUGAUCUGGGUCUGGAAAGCUACUGCCAGAGAUUACACAGGCUCCUCCCACUAAAAAGAUGCCUCUGUGAAAGCAAGCUCAAAUGAAGGAAGAUGUACGAAGAGCUUCCAUCCCUCCAUCUCCUGGUCUUCUUCCUGGACUGUCUCCAAUAAUCUCAGCUGACAUUACACUUCAGCAGGCAGUAACUGCAGAUGUGACUGGAGACAAGCUGUAGAGGCCAGGGAUGGCCCAUGUGCUACAGGGUAAACCUAAAUCUAUGACAGACAACUGGAUACUGGCAUUGCAAUUUGUUCCUCUCUUUGUGAUCUGUGCCUCUCUGCAAGUCCCUCAUGGAAAAUGUUGGAGUAGGUAUUACAAACAAACCUGAGGUCCCAUUUUAGAAGAGGCUCUCACCUGCGUAUUGAAGCUAAAUUGCUCAGCUUUUGCCUCAGUAUCUGGAAUUUGCCACGUGUGGUAGCAGACAGCAUGUGUUCUCACUCUGGCAUGAAGGAUAGCUGAACAGCUUUCUCUUCCUGUAGCACAGUUACACAGGGAGCCUCCCAUGGUGCAAACCUCCAUGAUCUGGGGAGCUUCAGAAGGUGGCCAGGCCAUAUAUUUCUAAAAUGUGGCAAUGGGGAAGACAAGCAUUAGCAAAAGCAUGGAUUGAACAAGACAAGAUACAAAGAAGAAUGAGUGAGUAGAGAGGUAUCAAGGCCACUGCUUUAUCAUAGAAUGUUACAGAAAUGCAAACAUCUGAUAUUUUUUUCGUCUAUAGUUGCUUUCAUUAAGAAUGCUUGUUCUCUAAAAUGUUUGGCACCAUCUUAAAGGAAGGUCAGGUAAUCUCUUCUGUGAUGGGGAAGGAGAUGUCUGCAUAUCACAUUGGCAUCCCUGUGCCUACUAGAUUCAGCUUUGUGAAGAGGUGCUCAUAUAUUGGUAUCUGCCUAUGAACCAAGCUGCAAAGAGCUUGGGCAUUAAGCUGCACUUAAAAAUUUUUAAUAAAGCUAGGUGAUCAUAUAAUAUCAAGGCCAAUAUUCAAUUUGCCAGAAUUGUGUUUUUAUAGUUCAUUGCUGAAAGUACUUCAUGUGUACUCUAGGCCAUACUAUGAAGGGCCCUCGGGAUUGCCACAUCCCUGCAGGUGUUCAAGGCCAGGUUGAAUGGAGCCCUGGGGAAAGUGAUCUAGUACUUGUUAUAGUAGUUGGCAACCCUGCCCGUGACAGGGCACUGGAACUGGAUGAUCUUUGAGGUCCUUUCCAAUCCAAACCAUUCUAUGAUGUGUUAGAAUGGGCUGCUCUAAACAUGGUCCGCAACCACAUCUAAAGUGUGCUCAGACUUCCUUACAAGGGGAACUUGUGGUUUUGGCUCUAGAUGAAGCCCAGGUUGGACAACUGGGGAACACAAAACAGGAAGCCAAACUGGGAAUUAAACAAUGCAGUGGUGUCCAAACACUUAAAAACCUCCUUAUGUUGCCUUAAAGUGAUGCUACCACAAUAAGAUUCAGGCCCCUAACUUCCAAAAGAGUGCAGACUAAGCUCUUAUAACUAAGAAGUCAGCUGUUCUCCUGCUGCUAUCAUAUUAUGAGAAAGUACAGCAGUUCCCUAUUUUUAGAACAGUGCAAAAUAUCAUAACAUUGUGCAGUAUUGUGCCUGAGUAACUACUGCAGUUUUUAGAGGAGUUAGUAUCUUGCAGUGGUAUUUAAUUACUCAGUGAGUUGAAACAGUAAAGUGCCUUCGAACUGCUAACUAUUAGUGCUACAAAACAUGGAAAAAGUAGGCAAAGGAGAGAACUGCAAUGAAUUGGAAAGCUCUGCUUUCCUAAAUUCCUGUGGACUAUGCAUGGAAAUCAGAAGGGACGAAAGCAGGUUUUAUCUCAAACCGUUUAUUAAAAAAAAAAAAAUGUGCAAGCUAUGCCUAUGCUGACUUAGCAACCAUAGAGAUGAACCUUUUACAAAAUCCUCUUUUGUAAUCAGCUUGCAUGUCUUCCUUCAAUGCUAUAGAUCACGUACAAGCCCUUGCGCAGCACGUGUGGGCAUUGCUAAUAAGAUUUACUGUUUAUCCAUGCCUGGUUUCAUCAACCACUGAGAAUGCAGCUUGCUGAACAGAGGGAAGAGUUGAGUUCUUGUGGGUGCUGCUGAUACUAAUAAGAGAAGAAAUUUGGCAAGAAUACGGCAGAAUAUUGCCAUAACACAGAAAUGGUCUUAAAACGAUCUAUAUAUGUGUGUAAUUUCCAAACUUCUUUGAAAAGCAGGGGCACGAUUCAUAGGAGAUUAUUUGGAUUCAAGGAGGCAAACCAGUUACAGCAGGUCUUUGCAGAGCCCACUGAAAUAAUCAUCACAGGCAGGAAGGAAGAAGAGAUGAGGCUGCAGUCCGUUUCCCCUCUUGAUAUGAUAAAAUAUCUGGGGGCAUAUUGCUCCCCUCGUGGGUGCACAAAGAAUUAGUUGCCAUGACUGGGAAAUAUGCCCUGGUGACAAUUUGUUUAAAAAGUGUUCCUCUGAGGACAGAUGCAGAUUUUCUUCUUGUUUUUAUUUCUCUCUUCUCCUGCUGCUCUGCGAUUCCAUGGCUGGAGAUCUCAUUUACCCAACAGCUGAAUGCAGAUCCAGCCAUGGUCUGUCUUCUCUACUGUAAACUCUAAGGAAUGGAUUGUUGCUUGAUAAUUUCAUGGAUUAGUUUUUCACUUCCCGGUGUCAAUAUAGGUCAUACUGGUGUCCUUCCCUGUGUCCUAACAUUAAUGGAAGAGCUAUGGUGUAGUCACCUUACCGUAAGGACUGUAGGUUCCAUAACACUCUGCAAUCUUUCAGCACAUAGUAAUUAUGAGCAUAUCUUGAGAAAUAUGCAUGGUAUUAUAUUUAUGUAUAAAUCAGUUUCCAAAUUAAACAUUUUAACUAGCUAGGUGAAAUAUUUCAUAGGCUUGACAGAUAUAAAACACUGAUGAUUCACACACCAAUUAACUAGUUCUAAAAUAGUCUCUUUUGUGCACAGCCAGGCAUCCAGUGUAACUUUAAGGUAGUACAGAGUUUUGUACUGGAAUAGCCACACAGUUUUGUGAUAUUUUAUGCAUUUAUUCACUACUGAUAAAAGUAAUUCUGCAAAUGACACAGCAUUUUACAAAAUACAUUUUCUCAGGGCUUCAUUUUUGCUGACUGGUAGCCAGAUGCCAGAACCAAUUUAGCCAAGUAGCCUAAUCUUCUAUGUAUGUUGCUAAGUCAAAUUGUGAUAUAUUUAUUCAUGUUAGGUAGCACCUGGUUGAUUUAAACAGGAUUACUGAUGAUGUAAGAUAUAAAUGCACGGCACAAUUCAAAAAGGGUGUCUCACUGGGACCUGGGAUCAGUGCAGUUUUACAACAUGAGAUAAAAUGAGCUCCACCUCAGUGUACUAAAAUGUCCCAGUGAGAGCUAUCCUGAAGUAGUCUGAGCUGCAUGUCAUGCUUUGCAGAUCAUGCGGAGGACCCAGACAAAGCUUUAAUGUUCAAAUCGCACAGUUUUACAUCUAAGGUAGUUUUUUUAAUGGCAGUUUGUGUGUUUGUUUUGGUAGAACUCUGAUUCUCAUCAGUGGAUGCCAGGCAAGAAACAGAAUCAUGGAACUUUAAGGGCUGGAAGGGGCUGCUGGAGGUCAUCUACGCCAAACUCCUGCUAAAGCAGGUUCCCUGUAAUAAGUCACAUAGGAAAACUUCCAGGCAGCUCCAAAGAAGAUAUUGUCAAGAGCUUUGCUGAAGCCAGAGUAUGCAACAUCUACUGCUAUCCCCUCAUCUAGCCAAUCAGUCAUGAUGUAGAAGGCUACCAGACUGGUCAAGCACGAUUUCCCCUUGGUGAAUCCAUGUUGACUACUCCUGAUAACCUUCUUUUCUUCCACUUGCUUAGAGAUGACGUCUAGAAUAAGCUAUCAUGGCCCCUUCUAUCUGGAAGAAUGACAGAAAUUUGGCAAGUCCUGGUGAAGUCCAAAUUCCGGCAGCAUUUAAACCAGAAGAAUAAGAUGACAGACAAAAUUGCUAUGUUUAUUUCAGAUAUUUGGGCCCAAAAAUCUGCCCCUGAGAGCACAUUGUCAUUUGGAGCGUUUCUCUGCUAGCACCAGCUGCUUGCUAUUUGUUAGUUACUGUGAAGGUGGGGAAAUUGAAUGAUGAUGAAAAUAAAUCUGUUAGAUAUCCAUCAACUCCUCCCUUAUAAAUACAGCACUGUUACCCAUAAAAUUUGCCCCUGGUGAUUUCAGAGCGGUGCUGUCAAGAACUUGUCUUGAGUCAAGGCUGCUCACCCAGAUGCUGGGAAAAAUGGGUUUCAGUGCAGUGCUUGGAAAAAUGUUCUGCUGAGAAAUAUAUUUUUUUAAUUAUUUGGGGUGGUGUCUUUUUACACAGGUGUUAAAUUUCCUGGAGUUAAUCGGAUAGAAAAUGCCUCAGAGGCAUCAUUCAGUCCAUUAACUGCAAUGCCAACUGCCAGUGUCUGGAGUUGAAUGCUAACAGAUUUUAUAACUCUUCACGAUAAUUGACAAAGCCAGACAGAUUCACAGUUCAGCGUAGCCCUCCUGUUCUUACCUGCUGCCUUCUGUGUUUAUAUCCCCAGUGUCUGAAGCUUGCUUCCUUUUUUAACAGGGGAGAUGUGAAUAUGAGAAGCUGGGUUGUUUUGCUCAUUUAUGUGAAAAUUAUACAGACGAGUGAACACCCAGCAAACCAGCAUCAGCAUCCCUUCCCCCACAUCUGCUUAUUACUUUAAGGGGAGCAUUAUUGCUACAUUACGUCUGACACUUGCUCCAUAAAGCAGGGAGCGAAGCAGGAGAGUAGGGAAUAGCUGAAAAACUAAUCACAAAUUUCUAAGAUUGCGAUUUCCUGAGAGAAAUCUGCAUUCUUAAGAAAAACAUUAAAAAAAAAAAGGGAGGAAAAUGACAAGAUGCUGCUGUUAUUUGGCGUGUAUAUGGGUUUUUUUGUUGUUGUUGACUACUUCAAAGUGUGCUCUUUGGAAGCGAUCUUUUUCCAUGCAGUCUAUGUCCUGAAUCACAAGGUCUUUCCUGCAGAAGGCAGCGAGCCCUUGUAGAAUUCCUCACUGCAGAGUCCACUUCAGCAGAAAGCUGUGCAGCAGAGCAUUCCCAAAACUACCCGAGGUUAUGUGAGCGCCCAUUUUGUGUUCUUGCUUUGCUGGAAUGAGGACCAGGGCAAUUUGCUCUGCAGGAUACACCUCUGAAUUUGUAUUAUGCCAACACCCAUAAAAGAUACUCACUUUGCAGUCAGCUAUGGAUGACAUGUAAAACCCAAAGUCCUCAUUAGUUGGAGUGGUUAAUUAUCCCAAAUAUGCUUAGAAGACUAGAAAGUUAAUUUUAGUGUUCUGAUUGUUUUAGUUUAUACACAAUUAAAGCUCCUCUCUGCAGUUUCUAUGGAAUAUAUGGUAUUUCUGCUGUAAGUUCCAUUGUGGGUGUUCCAGUAUGAUCAUGAAAGGACAAUAUAGCUAACUAUUUAAUAGCCUUUUUAUCUAUCUGCUCUGUGGGAUCCCUGCAGCACUCAUUUCUUUGUUCUUUGAAGUUUUUUGUAUAUGUGUAUUUAUAAAGGCACUUGAGAGCAUGAGGAUAAAAAGCAACAAAUAAAUAUGUUUGGAAAGGAAGCGUUGUACUAAAUCAGCAAAGGGUGAAGAGCUCUGAAAAAGAGAAGGGAAGAAAACUGGCUCCACCUUAGAAGACUAAUAGGAGAGCUGCCGAGUAAAAAAUGCAGUCAUCCAGCUGCAGUUUAUUAAGUGGGGAAAAAAAAAAAAGCUGUGGAAGAUCAGAAAUCAAAGAUCGCUGUAUGUUUACUGGCUUUUUGAAGCAUCUGUUCUCUAAUAUCAGAGUAUCGCACAAAGACUAAUCAACUGAUCUUCAGAAUAUCCUAGUGAGUUUCAGAUAUGUUAGCCUCAUUUUACCAUCACAGGCAUAAAGAGAUUAGCGGUCCAAGACUGCACAGGAGAGCUGUGAUAGAAAUAGGAAUGUAGGCCUGUAUCCUGUGCAGUGACACCACCAUGAAAGUAUCCAAUCUUCUAUCAGGGUAAGAAGGCAAUAAUGCAGGGCUGUUGGUAUAACACACAGCCACAGGAGAGGUGCUGAUGAGAGAUCCUCACAGCAUAGGAUCAUUAAGGUUGGAAAAGACCUCUAAGAUCAUCUAGUCCAGCUAUCAGCUGGACAGUGCUAUAGUGUUAUGGUCAUGGUGGAGGAAGUCUGCCUUUCAGUCUUGACUUUUGGUUAAAGUUCACAUCAGGCUGGGUAGAUUUCUGCGCAGUUCCCAGCUGAGUCACCAGAGAGGGGCCCGCCUUCAUCAUGGAUCAAUUUGAUUUCAAGCCCUGACAAAUACCCAGCUUCAAGAUGGGGGACAAUCUGUAAUGUGCUUUAUGAGAACACAAGGAAAUGAUGAAAAGUUCAAGAGUGACAGCUUGAAGUUCUGUAUGCAUACAAAAAGGACAACGUGAAUAAUGUCAGCAUGCACUUCCCCUUCCCUUCAGGAGCUCCAGAAUAUUUUAGAUGUGUAAAAAGAAUGUACUACUGUGACCUGACAUUACAAGUAUUUGAGGGGCAAAACCACAGCACUUCUAUAUUGACAGAUCACAUACUCUUAAUGCUGAGAUAUAUUUAUCUAUCUAGUACUCUAAGAUGCUGAAGGGGUAGGAUGUGCUUGAGAUAAAAAUAUGUCGGUACUGUUGAAUCAUACCAAAAACUUAACUUAAAAGACCUUCCUCUGACAAAAGCAACAACAACAAAACUGAAACAUAAAAUAUGCUAGACCUUCUUAUUUAAAUAGUAUUUGAAUUGAGCCAUUCUGACUACAAAGGCUUGAAGCCUGGAUACAGCCCUGAACUAAUUUCCUGCCUUUUGCUUUUGUUUGUCAGUUAACGUCAUACAGAUCAUGUCAUAUAAAUGAAGCUGAACACUGUUUAGGUCUUAGUGUUAGCAAACAAGAAAUCAUGAUUUGAUUCUUGCAUUCUGUGCCUCUGUCCUUGAGCCAACUCUGUGUGCUUUGUGCUUGCUACAGCACUGAACGUAUAACUGAUUGUUGGUAAUACUGAAAAUGACAUGCAUAUUGAAAUGCUUGCAAGACUGAAGUUUUUAACAUAAAAUAAAUCAGUACUUUGCUUUUGGG